GGCUGUGUGGUCUAGUGGUAUGAUUCUUGCUUCGGGUGCGAGAGGUCUCGAAUUCGAUUCCCGACUCAGCCC